UACAGAGGUCUCAAGCGUUGUUCGGAUUCAUUGGGCGUAAAGGGUGCGUAGGUGGCGUCGUAAGUCAGGUGUGAAAUCUCGGAGCUUAACUCCGAAACUGCAUUUGAUACUGCGGUGCUUGAGGACUGGAGAGGAGACUGGAAUUUACGGUGUAGCAGUGAAAUGCGUAGAGAUCGUAAGGAAGACCAGUGGCGAAGGCGGGUCUCUGGACAGUUCCUGACACUGAGGCACGAAGGUCAGGGGAGCAAACGGG
rnacentral:rRNA from 1 species